GGACGCCACUGCUUAAGCUCAAGGAAGCAUAGGUUAUUACAAUAACAGGCGAGUGGAAGACGCUGAGUGGCAGCGUGCAGGUUUCUGCUCCAGGAUUUUUGUUUGACAGUGACAGCAUCUAUUUUUACAUUUUCAGCAUAGAGACAUUACACUGAUAAUCACUGGAAUGAUGGGAGUUCCUGCAUCCUGUGUGGUGGUGCUAACAUUCAUUCUUUACAGCCACAGUUUGAAAAUACAAAGUACUCUGCAUGUGUCUAAAAGUUCUCAGGAAAAUGUUCUGAAUCCCAGUAAAUGUGUGUCCAGGACUAAUCAGCAGCAGAUAAUAGCAAAUCCAUACAACUUCUCUGUGGAUCUUCGCAUGCCUGGUGUUAUCCCAACUGGGGUAAGUGUGUUUCCACUCAAUGUUGGUGUGUGUCUAUCAGUAGGGAUGUGCAAUAUGA